CUUAGGUGCAUCCCUGCCUUGGAUCCAUUAACAAAGCCUGCCAAUGAAGAUCAGGAAAUUGGUACAGAAAUUAUUAAAAGAGAACUGAAAAUUCCUGCAGUGACUAUUGCUAAGAAUGCAGGUAUUGAAGGCUCUUUGAUAGUUGAGAAAAUUAUGCAAAUUUCCUCAGAAGUUGGUUAUGAUGCUAUGCUUGGAGAUUUUGUGAACAUGGUAGAAAAGGGAAUCAUUGAUCCAACAAAGGUUGCAAGGACUGCUUUACUGGAUGCUGCUGGGGUGGCCUCUCUAUUAAGUACAGCAGAAGAUGUCAUCACAGAAAUUCCUAAAGAAGACCCUGGAAUGGGUGCCAUGGGUGGAAUGAGAGGUGGUAUGGGAGG